GUACUGCUGAAGAGUCCCAAACUAGCGAGACGAAACAGCUGUCCAGUAC
rnacentral:hammerhead_ribozyme from 1 species